rnacentral:rRNA from 2 species
AAAACAAUUGGUUUGUUCUAGCAAAUUUAAAUCUUUAAACAUUAAAUGCUAUAAAUAAUUUUUUUAGUUUUUAUUCUUUUUUGUUGAAUAGUUUUAGGUAUGAUUUCUUAAUAAAAGUUUUAAAUUAGUUUUUUUAGGUGUGUUUAAGUAGGUGGCUAAUUUGAGUGCCAGCAGCUGCGGUUAUUCUUUAUAUAGCCUAGUGAUUUAUUAGUUGGUAUAAAUGUUUGAUAAUUAAAUAUAAUUAAGAUGCGUUCAAUUGGUGAUUAAUUAAUUAAUUAUUUAUUAAGUAAGUUAUUAAAUAAGACGCAUUAUUAUAUGUUUAUUGGUAAUUUUAUUUUCACUCCACAUUAAAAAUGAAAGGACUUGGCAGUAAAUUUAUAUUUUUGGGGAUCAUGAGUUUUGAAAAAGAUUUUCCUCUUAAUAACUAAUUAAAGUAUAUAUUUAUUUAUUAUGUUAGUGUACGGUUGGGUUUUGGAUUGGCUUUAGAUGGGUAACUGAUCUUAAUUCAAAUCAUUGUGCUGCAAUUGCUUUAGAUAUGAUUUUUGAUACACUUUUCUAUAGAGGUUUGAAAAAGCUUCUUAAUUAGGACUAAGCAGUAAAUACUUGUUAAUGAGCAGAAUUGAAUGGUAAAUAGGUUUAGGUACACACUGCCCGUCAAUUUCUUACUCUGGGAAAUAAGUCGUAACAUGGUAAGUGUAGCUGAAGUUGCACUUUUAAUUAU